UACACACCGCCCGUCACACCAUGGGAGUGGGUUGCACCAGAAGUAGCUAGUCUAACCGCAAGGGGGACGGUUACCACGGUGUGAUUCAUGACUGGGGUGAAGUCGUAACAAGGUACCC
rnacentral:rRNA from 1 species